ACCUCCUUCUUUUACGGGUGGGGUCCACGCAAAGGGACUCUCAGACCCUGAUGGACCGGAGGGCCUUCCUCCAGGGGGCGCUGUUGUUGCUGCACACCGUCAGACUGAGCUUGGACGGAGGAUGUGAGGAGGAAGGUGGCCAAGGUGCGCACACAAGAAUGAGCAACACGAUGUGCAUGGAGGGAGAAAGUGUGACAAAAACGGUCACAGACGCAUGAUGAAUGGACAAAAAGUUUUCCACAGACGUACACGUAGGGUGGAACCAAUUGCCUAAUUCUUCCAAUUUUUGUACUUCCUGUCUGGUGACCCAAUACUUUUGUCCUGAUGUAAAAGUCAGCCAAAGCUUGUGGGUGGGUGUGGGGCUCGCUAUUGUUUUGCUGCCACAAUGUUGCUGUCCUUCACUUUCCUUCCUUCCUUCCUAAGCUGGCGGGUUACCAUAGCGACAGCCAGUCGUGAGGCGUCAGGGCCCUCGAGGCGUUCUCCGCCGGCCUCGACACUAUCUGAAGCAAUGAUGUACAUUUACGACCGAAAUCACAUUUUUUGGUCCAUUAAAUUAUUUUAAUUUAUUCCCAGCAAUGAAUUUUUUUUCAUUUCGUAGCAUUUCUCUUGGCUGCACUGUUCCAGUACGGCGUCCAGUAUGUAUAUAUGGAUGUUGGAAAAAAAGUUGGAAUUUUUACAGGUAAAAAGGUCACCAUAUGGAAAUCAAGCUGUAAACAGAUUAAAAGCAAGAAUUUUAACACAUUCACUGCCAUUGACGGCUUUAGAAGUCAAAUAUCCAUGUUAACUGGGAAGGCUGGCAGUGAAUGAGUUAA